AUCCUUUUACUCAGAGAGACUUGGUUCAAGUCAGCACAGAUGUUCAAUCUCCAGGGAACAGACGCCUGGUAAGGGGUGAGUGAGGCUGAAGAAACUGAGGAAACUUCAUCGUCAGAGGCUCCUUCAGGGGAGAACAGAGCUGAGAGAACCCCAAAACCAUAGAGCUAGAAAGUAGUGUGAGCGAGAAUUCAUUUCUGUUUCUGCCGACGGUAAAACGGCGAGUCUCUCCUGACACCAGCCACUGGAAGACUGAAGAUGUGGAAGAAGGUUGGAAUCAGAUUCCUGAUAUUUUUCUUUCCUGGAUCAGGACACAGGAUCCCCAGGGCUUUUUCACAGGAUCCAAGAGCUACUCCACUGGCUAGCCCAAGCCCUGGUGCAGUUUUCUUAGCUUGUUAGUACUGUGCUGUGUUUUGAAGCAGACUCACUACGUAGCCCACGCCUGUCUCAAGCUGGAGAGCCUCUUGCCUUCCUCUCCUGUGAGUGGAAGCACACAGAGGUGCAGCCUACACACACACACACACACACACACACACACACACACACACACCACUUACAUAUCAGAAGUAUGUAGAGGAAUUUUAAUCCAGUAGCAUGGCUACUGUGGCUGAAAUUCAGACAGGCCUUUAAUCCAAAAGACUGAGGCAAGCAGAUAGGAGUUCAAGGCCAGCCUGGUAUGGAAGUUUCAGGUAAAGAAACACUUAGAUCCAGGCAUGGUGGUGCACAUCUUUAAUCCCAGCACUCAGGAGACCGAGGCACACAGAUCUCUGAGUUCUAGUCAGUGCUGUUCAGACAGUUCGGCUGAGUCAGGGAGAUGAGAGGCAGGCCAGUGGAGUUGAGCUCAAGGCAGUUUAAUUCGUGGAAUUCAGAGCCAGUUUGACCAGGACAGUUUUACAGAGAGAGGUUGAAGGGAGAACAAGCUAGACACAGGUGAAGACAGAACAAGCCAGAGAAUGAGAAGGAUCCAGGAGUUUAGAGCAGAUUGCUGGAGUUAGUUUGAGGCCAAGCAGAGCAAUUCAGUCAAAAGCUAAGAGAAGCCAGUUUGAAUUAGUCAGCUGGGAGAAGAGUAUGAGCCAGAACAGCUGAGUUGAACCAGCCAGCUCUGAGCCCAGAAAGAACUAGAAAGGGUGAGCUUAUUCAGCAGUGAGUCUCAGAGGCUGAAAACAUUCUAGGCCUAGGUUAGAUUAUAUGGAGGCUAGAAGCUUCCAGGACUAGGCCUAGGUCAGCAGACAGAGGCAGUAAGUCUCUGAGACAACAAUUAAAUCAGGUGAAUAAAAGUUACUUUCACAGAAGUAUCACUCUCUGCUGGUGAGGGAAAGAAAACUCCAGUCUGUCACCCCUACACUUUGGAGACCGCUGCAUUCAAGGCCAACCUGGGCUACAUAGUGACUAUAGAGAAGAUGAGGCCAUCAAAGGCCGCCUGGUUUCAACCUUCCCCUCCCCACAAGAAGAGUAGACUGGAAGAGGACUGUGGUCACAAGAAUGGCAGUCUAUGGGAAGAGACGUAACUUAGGGAGUGCCUCUCCAGCAUGCACAAAGUUCUGGGUUGAGCCCUGGCAUUCCAAGAGACUGGACACAGUGAUCCAUUGACAGGAGGGAGACAGGCCUGGAUGGGAUGUAACAGGACACGGACAUGUCUCUCAUGCUAAACCUUGUACCUUAGGCAAAGAACUUGCUGGCUGACCAGUAUGGAAUUUUAGAUGAGGAAGACCCAAGGAUGAUUUGAAAGGUUUUAGUGUAAUCACCCAAGGAAUGGAAUCUUUGCUGACUGAAAUGAGAAGCAGCUUUGAGGGAAAAGCGUAGGCCUGAGAGCCUUACGAGAUAGCCCAGGGGAGAUGGAGCUCACAGCAUUUCAGGAACAGUUCUGGAGAUGAAGGCCAGAGGCGGCUGCCGGUAUGAGAGGCUAGCGCUGUCUCAGGGGAGAGAGGCUGUUGGAGACUGGGUCCCCUGACUCUCCUGACACGAAGACCCAGAAGCUGAGUCGUGGCUGAGCUGCAGAGGAGGCCGCAGGACUAUGAGAAGGAUGAGAAGGGUGUUAUCAGCCGGAAGGCCAGCCUUAACGAAGGAAGCUGAGAUGGUGAGACAAGGGGUGUGUACGAGGGAAGCUGAGAUGGUGAGACAAAGGGUGAACCUGAGGGGUUCGGGGGACUUGGUCUCUUCUUGCUGUACAGAGGAGCAAGAUGGAAUGGCCUGAAGAGCAGAGGGCCCGGACAGCGUCUUCCGGUCGUAUCUCCGACUGGCUUACAUAUAUUCUUGUACCUAAGUCAUGCAAAAGCAACUGGGAAACAAGGCCUGCGUUUGAGGGGGAGCUGGGAGGGAGCUACUGGAGGAGGAGCGCAUGGGAGGACGGAGAAGUGUAAUCAAAUCACCACCUCAAAAAUAAAACAGAGUUG